AUCCUUUGACUCAUGAGCAUGUUGAAUGGGUGUUCACACCUCAUGCAUGAAAUGUGCCACCCUCUAGCCUUCUAUGACAUUGGCACAUUACAUGUCUUAUG
rfam:Fukomys damarensis contig151159, whole genome shotgun sequence.